UACGAAGGGGGCUAGCGUUGCUCGGAAUCACUGGGCGUAAAGGGCGCGUAGGCGGCGUUUUAAGUCGGGGGUGAAAGCCUGUGGCUCAACCACAGAAUGGCCUUCGAUACUGGGACGCUUGAGUAUGGUAGAGGUUGGUGGAACUGCGAGUGUAGAGGUGAAAUUCGUAGAUAUUCGCAAGAACACCGGUGGCGAAGGCGGCCAACUGGACCAUUACUGACGCUGAGGCGCGAAAGCGUGGGGAGCAAAAGGG
rnacentral:rRNA from 1 species